rnacentral:lncRNA from 1 species
UUUUUUUUUUUUUUUUUUGUUGUUGCAGGUGGGGGUUUGAGCUAAGCUCAGUGGUUGAGAUAGGAUUAGCCAUUAGGUGUGUGAAAAAAGUUGAGCAACUAAAUAAUGCAGUGAAACAUUUCAAUCUACCAAUUGAUGGGUACAUUUAAAAAGAUGGCAUGCCAUAGUAGUGGCAGUUCCAUGAAUUGGCUUAAUUAUUAAACAGUUAUAAAUACGCUAGUAAUGGUUGAAGUUGACAUUGAACAGAUGGAUUAGGUCACAAUCAAUGCAAUUGCUAAUUCAAUUUGACGCUUAGAUUGCAUUGAAUAGAGUGGGUCGAGUUUUUUUGCCACACUAAUCUUCUUUCAGAAAAAUAUAUCUGAGAUGAUGUACUUCUUUUAUAUUUUAUUCCCAUAGCCAUGCUUUCUGCUUAAUUACAUCCACACCGUGGAUAAAAUUGCCAUUGAAGAUGAACUAAAUUCUGACGCGUUCUAUGUUGGAGAGAAUGUCAAUCAUAAGAUUAUCCAUCUCUAAUAAAUUUUGAUGCAUAUUAAAUUCUUUACUAAAUAUGUGAUCCCCUUCAACACUUUUAAGCAAACCAAGCCCACAAAGAAAAAAAAAAAGAAAAUUUAACAUAAAUUAAUUGGAGGAAAUACAAAAAUUUAAUUAGAAAAAGGAAAAUCGGCACCAUAAAUAGGUGAACUGUAUGAAACAAAAUUAUAAUCUCCAAGAAUUAUAUAUUAAAUAUACUAUAAUCAAUAAUAAAUCAAUCAAUCAACGGAUACAUGACUAAUUCCCAUAAAUAAAAUGUUAGAAAAAAAAUUUCUGGUAAGCUGGCUUGUUUGGAUAGCCAUUUGAAAAAUGGUCUUGUUUUUCGUGAACACAUUUUCCUAUCACAUUUUUACCUCACAUACAUCAAAUCGCUACAGUAAUUUUCCAACGAAAAAUUCAUGAAAAAUGCAAUUCAAACACAUUAGCUUUUCACCGCGCACAUGACAUGAGGUGAGCAAUUAUAUUAACGGGCACCAUUAAUAAUAUUCAAAAUGUCAUAAAAGUUUUAUAAACCCCAAAAAAUAGAGAUAAAAAAAAAUGAAAUAAUGAGAAUGGAUGGAGAUAUCAAACCUUCUUAUCUGUUUCACAUUUGUGGUUUGGAGUUUGUGGCGAUAGAGUUACGUUAGAAAGGGAACACACUCAGUUGGUACUGACUUUUGAACUAUUAAAUAAUCAUCUUAGGUCCUAUGAGUAGGUGUUUGGCUUGUAUUUUUGGACAGGAGGGUUAUAUUGGAAAUAAACUCUCUUUUUUUUUUUUUUUUUAACUACUAAGAUUCUUAUAAUUCCCUUUCUGCUUAGACUUUGUAAAAGAUUAGGUGUGGAAUUUCCUUUUUCAUCAUUGCUCCCUCAAUUUGCUGCCUUCUAAUGUUCUGCCAUUGUUUUGAAAGUGAAUUAUGCCAUUUCAAUCCAUACCUAUUCCCAUAUGCUUACAAAACCAACUUUAUGUCACCUAUCUUGGAGUCUGUAGCGAAGAUGUCAUAUCAAUCCAUCAGUUCUUCAGUUCAGCUGACCUCCACCAUCCAUCCACCCAGGCCAAAAAAAAAAAAAAGGGUUUGGAACAAUGAUGAAAACGUCAAGAGCAGAAGAGUUUUGGAAUCUCAAGCAAUAAACCUCAUCCAGCAGCAGAGGCAAAAUGGAGAGGCUCAAAGUAAAAGAUGUGUAAAGUUCCCAACUAAUCAGAACCCCAUAUCAUGACAAAUCAAGACUUGCAUACCCCAGUUUGGGGAAUCUCUAGCAUUACCCUUAUCAUACCAUGACAUUAGCUGAUGGCCCAUUUCUUUGAACACAUUGCUAACUCCAUUUGAGGGGAGGCACGAGCCAUCACCAUUGUCUUGGCUGAUAACUUAUAGUGGCAAUUCUCUUCUUGGUUCUUACUGUCAUAAUUAUUAUUAUAAACCAAAAAAAGAAGAAAAGGAGGAGGCCCAUAGCUCUGCACUCUCUCUGUUUUUGUUCAAGACAUCCAAGUUUCAAAUCCUGUCCAACUACUCCAAGAUCUCAAAAGGCCAAUUAUUUGACUGAUCUUUGUUACAACAAUGUGGCACAAAUUCUUCAAAACUUGAAGCCGGUGAUCAACUUAGAUUACUUAGAUUCACACAAAUCUCAGGUCACCACCAGCAGCGAGUUGUGAAUACCUGAUUUUUUAGGAGAUUUUGAUUUAUCUUUACCAGCUAAGUUAAUACGCAUCAGCAAGAUACGUGUCUGCUAUCCCUUCUGAAAUAGGUUGAAUAUUUUAAUUAUAGUUGAGCAAGCCCUUAAUGUUCUUUUCAGUGUUAUGUUCCUAGACUUGGUUUUGGACCAUUAACACUAGCGACUGCUCAAUCACAAUCAUAUGCUCUAAAACUGUAUUCUUGGUUGAAAAUGAUCAUUGCAAAAGAGAAAAUGGAAGGCAGUAAGAAAUUCCUCGUUCGGUUUGGGUCAGAUUUAUGCUGUGGGUCCAUAUUGAUAAGACGUUCAUUACUGAAUAUUUAUAUCGCCCUCUCCUCUCUCUUGUCAUUUUGCAAGUGUACUGGUAAAUGAAUCCUCUGCAAAAAUUCAAUUCCCAUCUAAUCCGCUUUGCACCCCUCCACCAAUAAUGUACAAACAGGACACGCUCCAGUAAAUGAAAUCAACAAGUUAAUUCACUCUAUCUUCAUUUGUUGUGUUAAUAUCAUCCACAGUAUGCUGUCGUGCUAUUAAAACUGAUAAUUGCAGGUCUUCUGCAUCUGUGUUUCUGUAUUGCUUAAGUGUGUGUUUCUGUACAUCAUUCAAUAAAAGGUUCUGAUUAUCAUGAGAAUAUUGAAAAAUGACAACUAUCAAGCAAUUUUCUAUUCGGUUCUUUUGUCUAAAUUGGCACUUUCUUACUCCUGUUCUCUUAACUUGUGAUGCAGUAAAACUGGAUAUUUUUGAAUGGUCAUAAUUAAAGUGUCUUUUCUGAUUUUCGUACGACGCAUGCCUUAAUUUUUGGAGCUCAACCAUGAAGCUAUCCAAUCCAACAUCGAUCGGCAAGAGAUUAGGCAUACGAGUAGUGAGUGCAUCUUGAAAGGGACCCCUAAAGCUAAGGGACAGUUGGAAUACCCUUUUCACACGAAGGGCUGUGCAGCUAACCAGCUUUAGUCAAUUAAUGAUGGAAAAAGAGAGGUCCGUAUCACAAGAAAGAAUGGACAUAUAAUUAAUCUCUUGCUAGCUAGUUUGGGGACCCGUAAUCUGCAGGGUAUAUAGACUUCUUCCAUGCCAAUAUAUAUAUUUUCAGCUUCACCUUUCUUUGAUGUUGAUUUUUUGUUUUUGUUUUUGUUUUGGUUUUGGUUUUGUUCCCUUGAGCAUUAAUAGAAGAGUAGGUAGGUUUCCAAGAUGCGUGACAAAACUGGAUUUUGAUCAAGGCUAUACAGUACUUGGUCCUAUAUUAAAUUAUCUUUCAUUCUUCUCUUCUUAAUAACUCCUCGAUUUUGCAUGGGGUUUUCAGAUCUUAGAAGAAGACAGAACUCAAUAAAUCUAACGGGCCAUCUACAUUGUACUCCUCCUCUCUGAUGGAUGGUCAGUCUUAUUUAAAGAGAAACCAAGUUUGAUAGAUGUCAGAUGACUAAAGAAUUGGUGAUGGAUAAGAAUAAGAGCGCGUGCGUGGUCCCUAUAAGUUGGGAAGAGGAGCAAGAAUAUCAUCACUUUUGAUAUUCAUUUGAUCACGAAUUCCAACCUAGUAUAUGCGGAUGCAACAUCAAUUUUCCUCAUAGUUUAACUCCGACAAUGUAAUUAAGAGUAUCAAAAUGUGAGUUAGAUCACCGACGGGAUCCUUUGAAUCUUCCUAGGAGUUGAUAUAGGAAAAGAAACGGUUCACAGGGAAAUACCUCUCCGACGUAGCUUUAUAAGAUUGAAGAGAAAAGAGGAGAAAACUUGUAUGGAUGAAGGGAUGUGGGUUGGAAGAUAAUGUGGGGUUUCAAAGAAAUCAAAAAGUAAUAGCCAGUAUGAAGCUGGGAGACCAGGAAAAGGAAAUAUAGGUUUGAACUGAAUCUCACGUUUGGUAUCCUGAUGCUGGUAGCUAGAUGUCCACUGUCCACCAGACACAGAUGCUGUUAUGUUGUUGGUUUCGGGCAUCAGAAUUCACAAAGAUAAUACAUUAAAUAGUAAACAUGCCAAUAAUGCUGAGGCAUAAUCCAAUUGCAAGAAAAAUGGAAAGUUGAAACAGUAAUCGGACACAGGUCCUGGAAAGAAAGACGAUUAUGUCACCACGAAAGUGGGAUACCAUCGGCUCGAGACCGGUUGCGCAGAGUAGUGAUCUUAUCACUUGGGUUUUGGCUGAUGGACAGACAUGCAACGUAGCUCAUGUAAAAAGCAACAGCACCUGAAGCAAAUAUAAUGCCACGAGACAAAGACGACGCCUUUGUAAACUCAGUUUCUGCAUUUGAUUGGUGGGGUAGAAAUCAGUGAUAAAUUUCCACCAGGCUGCAGAAAAUACCUCUUUCAGAAACAGUGACAAUGUCGCCAAGAUCUCAUACACGCCAGAUUGUGAUAACCACAGGGCCAUAGACCUAAUCUGAGCAUAAGCAACAAAUGAUCUUGUAUUUUAGUAAUCUAGAAAUAGGGUUAUGCGCUUGUACAUAUCAUAUGGCAGUCUUAAUCUCCAAUCUUUCUGUUUACGGCUCAUUGGCCUGCCUUUAGCUGAAGGGUUUCUAUUUUCCUUCACAUCAGCCAACUUCCAUAUACAGCACCCUGAAUCCAUCUCAAUCGAUUCUAGCAGGAAAACUCCAUUCUUUUCUGGGCAUUCCACCUCCAAAUUUUCAACAUAGCUGACACGCAUAGGCAUCUCUUUGAACCUAUCCAAGUCGUCUGGUACUUUGAGUAGCCGCUCAGCCCCAGGUGAGGAAACCUUAAGGGGGGAAAAAGGAAAAAAGAAACUUAAGCAAAUUCGAGUGUAUGAACCGAUUAGUGUCAUGCAAAACAAUAACCACAACAAUCAGGUGGCCAUUUGUAAAAUAUGAAACACUCGAGGCGAUGAAGAACUAAACUAUCAGUUGCAUUGUUGGUAAGUAAUUACAUCAAGAGCCAAAUCAUCUGGGAUUUCUCCAGUAGCCCCUACUUCAUCUAGCUUUGCCUUGUAUUCUUUACUGAAAGAUUCAAGCUCCUCGAUGCUGGGGCACCCAUAUCUGAAGAUUCAGAGUCAGUUUGAGAGCAAAUUUAGGACAUCAGACUAGUUGCUUAGGCAGGUAAACUAUAUUUAAAUGAUAUAAUUGAAGCAGCACACACUUUUCCACCAUAUGAUUUCAUAUAAUCCAGAAUGUGCUUCCCAAAUGAUUCAAUUAUGGACACCACAAGACCACAAAGGAAAAAUAAAAUAAAUCAGAUUAUAGUAAUUAAUCCUCUGUUAGUUGUUAAAAAGGAGUGACUAUCUUCUCUUGCACCCAACCACAUUUAGAGUUAGAAAUUAAAAAAAGGAAAGCAAUCGCAAAAGGUACACGACUAGAAUACUGGGAUGAAAACGACUAGUAUAACAAAAUGAUAUAUAUAUAUAUAUUGCUUAUGCUAAGGGAGGGGAGAGGGAUGGAAGGUUAUUUAUUCAUGAUUAAUACCAGAAAUCUGAAGAUUGAAAAACUCAACAUUACAAAAGCGUUUCUCCAGUCUUCCGUAUAAACAACUUCUAUGACUUCAAAGUUACCAGAAUAAAGUAACAAGCACAAAGCUAAUCUUACUCAUUUGACAGCUUAUCAAGUCUGACGUAGAUGUAUCCACGCGGUGAGGUCUUCAAGGCAAAGAGCUUCAUGUCAUCUCCAAACUGCAGCAGCACCUUGUGGGCUAUGGAAAGUGCCUUUUCUCCCCAGGGACAAUUUUGAAGAACCACUCCACCUCCAUCACCACCAUCACCAAUCUAAAUUUUGAACAACCAUCACUAACUAAAAGUUACUGUGGGAUGGGAAUCAAAACCCAACCUUCAAACAGGGUGAUACAGACCUUAGGCUCAACCUCCUCUUCUUCUUCCCAUAAAUCAAUUGGUUCAACCUCAUCUAUAUCAUCUGCCAUUCAACCAAGAUUACGCAAUACUUGAGCUAACUUCAAACCAGACAACUUUACAAGGCAGGGGAAUAGUGAAAUAUUUGCACAUCCUCCAGCCAACAGAAAUUUAAGAAUGUAGCUGAAGAUCCUUCACGUUAGUUACGUGCUUUCAAACCUAGGACUGCCAUUACACUAGAGGAAUACAGCCUAAGAAAUUUUAAGGUCAAUACCAAAGCAGCCACAGUGACCACAAUAUGCAAGAAAUGAUCCCAUUACUGCCCAUUUAAACAAAUAUUAUUACAUUGCUAUUAAAUUCUAAGAAGCCGCCACCACAACGUACAACAUAAAAAAUUCCACUCAGUAAGACUUAAAAUGAGUCUCUUACAUGAAAUCAGUACUACAAAGCAUAUACCAAGGCAAAAAAGAAAACUUCUUUCUUGAUUUUCUGUACAUUCCCGUUGUCCUCCCUUUUUCUUCUGAUAGAAAGCAAUGGGCAUUGCCCCAACAAGAAAUAUACCAAAGCAAACUUUUCUCAACCCAGUUAAGUUUAAUCCACGCACAUAAAGUUUGACAUAGACAAUAUCUCAUACACAUGGUGAACUAACGCUUAAACUCAAAUCAAACGAGCAGCCACCGGCAAAAAAAAAAUAAAAAUCAAAAGCUACAAUCUUUAAUACGAAGAGCUAGGCUCACCAUGGUCCUGGGUUUUGAUGAUUUGAGGGGAACUGCUACUUAGAUAUCGUCGAGAGAUAGAAGUGAAAAGAGAGGUGGGGUCUGAAGAAAUUUCACGCUUUUUAACUUUGUUGUAGUAAAAGUUUUGAAGGCCUUGACGUUGAACUUGAAGGACUAUCGGCGCCCGUGCUGCAAGAUCAUGAUAAUUAUGAUGAACCGAGGAAAGGGCUCUCGGAGACUUAUGCAGCAAGAAAGAUGAAAUUUUGCUACUGAUUUUUCGUCUCAUAUUUCUGCCUAGCUCUGGUUAGGUUAGGUCACGGAAAAUUGCUGCAGUUUCUGCAAUUCAUUCUCUAGUACGGACAAGAGAGAGUCCAAACCUGCAGGCGCAACCCCCUGCCUUUUGGGUUUCUGUGACCAAUUGUUUUUAAAUAUUUUUUUCCUUUGUUUUUUCAUCUUAUUUGUUUGGGUAGAAUAUUAUUGAAAAUAUUAUUUAAAAUAAUUACUGUAAUUUUUUUUAUUAUAUGAUAUCUGUGAAAUAAAAAAAUAAUUAAAAAUAUAAAAAGUGAAUUGAAAAAUAUAUUUAAAAUACAAGCAAAAUAUUAAAUAAAAUAAUUCAGCAAUCCAAACACACUACUCAUAGCAUUUUUUAUUUUCAUGAUCAGUUAAGCUUUACUUCCAAAAGAACAUCUCAACAAAUUUCACCGUUUUUUGGAAGAAGGAAAUGGGGUAAUUUGGCUUCUGCCAAAUAUCUAUUCUCUUUAACUCUCUGUGUUAAUUAUAUGUAACAGUAAUAUGAAUCAGAAAAAUAAGUAGUACUUAUUUAACAUUAUUUUUUUGCAGAGAGUUGUGGAAAUUAGAUAUCAGAAACGCUAAAAUAUAUUUACAUAAUAAUUCCGGAAAAAAUUAAUUGAAUAUACAUGGCAGCAGUAAAGCUACAACUCUACAACAGUCUCCGAUAGACCAGCAAAAUCAGGGGAACACGAAAGAAAGAACAUUUCAUAACAAAAUUUUGCGAGACUCAGAGAGUUGGGACACGACAUUGGAAUUUCUACUGUCAACUAUAAUCUCAAAAUGGUUCUAAGCGUAUCAGAAAGAUUCUGGAUGGUUUGCUGCUCUUGCGCUGCUUGCAUUUCCUGAAGUGGCAUAUCCUCAUAACACCUGAAGCACAACUUGAAGACAUCAAAAGAAAAGAAAAGGGGGCAGUAGUCAAUAUGUAUUCUUAAUUUUCCCCCACCCCUUCAAUUCAAUUAGGUUCAGUAACAUUUCCCGCAUCCCCUUCCAGUUAAGGUCCAGUUUAUAUUUAAAGAAACCAAAAAUGGGGCCCCUUUCCAGACCCAGAGAAAUGAAAAAAGAAAGUCAUACAUCUUGUGGUAAGCUAGGGCCUGAGCGAGAUUCAUCAGAGUAGGACUCGAAGUUAGUCUCUGGCACACACUAGGAGGUAAGGGUACCUGCAACAGCAGUGAAAUACCGUAUAGAAGCCAAAGGCACUGUGAGAGAGAGAGAGAGAGUGAAAUACCGUAUAGAAGCCAAAGGCACAGAAAGAGAGAGAGAAAGAGAGUACGAAAAGAUGAGUACCUCAGUUUGUCUAUUUCGGCCCUUUUUAGACUGAGCAUCACUAGUGAAAAGCUCCUGAAUUGCUUCAACAGCUAUACUUCCACUAUCAUCCAGUUUCGGGCCUCCAAGUACAUUGUCAGAUAAAAGAGCAAUAGGCGAUAUAUCUGUUGCCCUAAGAAAUGGAAUGGGCACAGUGUUGCCAGCUGAAUAUAUUGACCACAGCUACCACAGUAAUAAAAUCCAAGUGAGCAAGAGCACACGUUUCAUGGAUCAAAACUAGAACCAAAGAAGGCAGGUUCCUACAUAGAAGUUGCAUACCAACAAAAGAAUGCAGGAGUAGCAAAGAAAAAGUUGUGCAAUACUCAAACACAGUGAAGCCUGUUCUAAGAGGCAUUUUAAGUCUUGAUGACUUUGUGUAGAAACAGAUCUGUACAACACUUCACAUAGGAUAGAUUGAAAUCCUAGACUAAGGCAAAAAAAAAAAAAAAAGGAAGAAUUGUUUAUUUAAUAAUGGAUAAUAGCCAAGAAGAAUAAAAUUUACCUUAUCUAAUGCCUUCCGGCUUACAGUUUCACUCAUAAAUGAACUGCUGCUCAUGCCGGCAGCAGCAACUACAGUUGCUUGGGCACUGCUUUUUGCAUCAAGCUUCUGCUCAGGAGGGCCAACGAUUGAAAGAGGGAAUGCUUGAGAGGGCUGUGCAACAGAUAUAGAUCCUUCAACGGGGGAAGGGACUCUCAUUGUGCCACUCGCCCUGGCCACCAAGUUCACAGAUUGGGUAAAGAAACUAAAUAUCUAGGAUUUGAUUUCCAGGUUCAUAAGAUACCAUAGCUUAUAGACAUUUGAAUUACUACAAGCACAAAACUGCAAGAAGGUAGACUAGAGUCAACAUAUUCUCAUGCUACUCCUAAAUGGAAAAAAGACUCUAGAAAGCAGAGGUUCACCCCUUUUUGUCCUUUUUUCUCCACAGAAAGUAUUUAGUUCAAGAAAAUAUCGUCAGGAACAUUCAGUUCCAGACAAUGAAGAACUUUCUUGAUUGGUUUGUCUGUGUGCAUGCAAACAAGUUCAAAUAAAUGAAACAGGAAAUUUCUCUAUUCCCCAUCCUCUUUGUUGGAGGUUUCAAGAAUUACCUGGAUUCUAUAGCUUUGUCUCUGCCGCUACUGAUGUAUGGACUUCCAAUUUGUCCUGAAGCAGGCAAAGGUUCUUCUGCAUUAGUCAGAGAGGUACUACGUAUGGUUGUCAUAUCCAUUUCACCAUCCCGAACUAUGACAGUGCCAAAAUCACCUGGUCAAAGAGACACCACAUAAAUGAAGUUAAAUCACCCAACUUGAAGCACCUCCAUAUAUCAGGACAAAGAAUCAAGACAAAAAUGAGAACACGUGCUACCCAUCCUCACAAAGUGCAGCCCCAGAAUCAACAACUCACCUAUAUACAAGUCCAUCUUCUCAUUAAUUAUUCUAUAUACAUGGGAGGGUCAUGUUCAUCAGAGGAGGCAUGUAAAAAAAGAGGCAACAAGCAAGAUGGUAAACAAUAAGAUUGUACAUAAUUACCUUCCAUAUUUGGUUCCAUCCUAUCAGCUAUAGGUCCCGAAGCUAUCCCAUUAGCAAAGUUCUGAGGCUUUGAUGGGACAGUAUCUCCAUAGUCUUCAUUCAAUUUUGGACCACCCAAAGGCUGCAAAAAUGGGAUUUAAUAUUGAAAUUUUCAAAAGCUUCAAAGAAACAUAGUUACAGAGAAAAGAAAAACUUAUUAAUAUGUUUCUGAAACAAAACAAAGAAUGGGAUAGGAUAACAAAACCAAUUAGUGAAAUAACAAAUUUAAGAAAUCAGGCAUACAGUCUCUCCAGGUAAAGAUGUUUCUGGAGUAACAGUUUGAGCUUGCAACGCCAUGGAUGCCCUGAUCUGCCUUGCCUUCUCAAUCUUGGGCAGCAUUGCAGACGCUCCACUUUUGCAUCUUUCAAUAAAUUUGUGCUGUUGAAAGCAAAAAUGGGUAAGACCAAGUUAAUCUCAGAAUCGAGUAUAUAUUCCACAUCAAUCAGCAAUUAACAUGUAAAAUAGUGGCCUGCAACAAGUCCCCUGCAACUUUUCUCAAUAUUUUCUCCACAUUUCUCAAGAAAUUCCUCUCAUUUUUGCAGGAAAAAGGAAAGGACAAGGUAAAAGGGCAGUUGAUUAUGCCUUGAAGCAUGAAGAACCUUGUAAGUGCUACGCAUGGUCAAUCCUAUGAGUUGAGAGAAUCGUAUCAUGUAUGCAGCAACAAUUAUGAUACCUACUACUUAAUUCUAACAGCACCAAUACCUAUAUUCGUAGUUAAUCAUGCUCAUUGCUUCGAUAGGCAAGUUAAUUGGCAUUGACCAUCACUGAGCUAAUUUCACAUACAACAUAAUUGCUUUAACUUAUCCUAAAUUAAUUUCAUCAAAUAGCAUUAGUCUGAACUAGGAUCACAUGAACGGUCCUAUUCAAAGCAAACCAAGAUAAAGAAUUUCCACUACUUCCAAUAGCAAAGAUAAGCCAACAUUCUGCAACAUAGCUUCCAGAAGUUUCACUAGAGCACCAGUUUACUAAUAUUGAGGUUAAAAUUGAAGAUGUUAAUAAUGUAAUAACUGCAAAAUGAAGUGAUGAAAAUGGACACCAAAGCCCCAAAAAUUUGAUGUACCCAAGUCAUUGUUAAAGCAAUUUCAACAGGAAAACAAACAGCGCCAGAAGAUGAGUAUCGAAGUUGCAGAGCAGACAAGGCUUAGGCAACAGCUACAGGCAGCCUCUAAUAGCAAAUCAGCUAUCACACCAGAUUGUGACCUCUUUGUUUUGUUUUAGAAAGCAGGGGGUUUAAAUUAGAUGAUACAUAGUGAGAGAGAGCUAAAAAAUGCAUAUUCAAACAAUUACUGUAAGUCAAAUGGCAUCAACUUCUUGCAGUCAUCAAGUUCUCAAAUCUUUAUACAGUAAUCAACCCAAAGAUCCAUAGAAAGGUAAAGAGAAGGGAAACAAAUACAAAUACUGCACAAAUAUCCAUAGAGCACCUUUAGCAUCUCAGCUGCAGUAGGACGAAGCCUUGGAUCCUUAGUAAGGCACUUUGCUACAAAGUCAUGGAAAACAAGAGACCUGCAUCAACAAAAUAUUUAAGUGUGGAUAGUCGUGUGGCAUCGCAAAAGGAUCUCUGUCAAUCACAACCAGUAGCAUUCAGAUACUAGCUGCACAUCCCUAUCUAAAAGCAACAAGCACUAGCAUGGAGUUUGCCAAGCAUCAGGGGAAGUCUAAAUUGCUACUAAGUUAAUACCUCUAAUAAGCGAUGAAACUCAGACAUUUGAUCACAAAGAAUAACAUUAUCAAUGCCUAGUUUUUCUUAUCUUAUCAAGAUUAACGAGCUGCAUACAGAAGCUCUUUAGAGAAAAACUUUGAAUUAUGAGAAAGCUAGGAGGCAAACCAUUUCUCUUUGUCCUCAAGCAUUGGAGCUGGUUCUAUCGAUAUCAUAAACAAUACCUGUCACAAGAAGAGAUAAUACUAAACCACCAAUAAACUGAGAGCUUAAACAAUUCAUCAAGAAUAUAGAGGGCUAGACUGUAAUAAUUCUCAGGCCCAAAUUAGCAAGGUAAAUACUAACUGUGAAUAACUUAUUCUCCAGCACGAUGACCAUCUUCAAAUUCUAAUUCAAAUAGAUUAAUAAAUUUCAGUGGUAAAUGAAGAUAUGGCAAGUACAGUUACCAACAAAACCCAGUAAUCUGUAAUCAACCAAUUUUUUCUCCUUUGCAACAAAGAAUUGACUACCAGCAGGCAAACACACGAGACACAGAGUGCAUUAAAAGGGAUUCAGCCAAUUUGAAAGAGUAAAUUAAGAUGAGUAAUUGGCAUGCAAGGGCUAAAAGCAAACUGGGAAAAAACAUCAAACUAAAAUAGCCCAGUCAUUUAAUAAUAGAACGAACGAUCAAUCUAAUUCAGUAGUCAUGUCCAUGAUUAGAAGAAUCCCACUUGCUUAAUAUGCAUAAUUUAUGGUUUCAGUUGCCUAAUAUCCCAGAUCAGAAAAUGCCCCUUUGGAUUUUAACUCUUAUGCAUAGUUUUAUGCACCAGAAAUUUCCCAUCCGGUAUGAAAGUAAAUGUAAAUUUUUAGCCGCGUGUUGAAAUGACAAAUAGGGCCUGUAUAUAACAAAUUAUAUAUGUGCAAAUCCCAUUCACUUUCCUUUCCCUGUAUAUAUUAUGCUAAAAAUGCCUGAUACCUUCUCAGGUUAAUACCAUGGAUCAACUCUAUAGCUUGGUACACGAAAAUAAAUGCUUCAAAUCAAUUGACUAACCCUCAUUGGAUGAACAGUGGCUCUUGGUGGACAGCCCUGGAUGAAAAGGAAAAAAGGAAUUACAGCCUGUUAGCUACCAUAAACUAAUCAUCUAAUACCAUAAAGUUCAACAUAAAGGCCAGCUGUUCAACCUUUUUGUCUGUACAACAAGCAUGACAGAAACAGGGCAAACAUCAAAAAUCUAAGAGAUAUACAACUAGGUAAAACAAACGGAUGUACCUCUGCCAUUUCUAUUGCAGACACUCCCAGAGCCCACACAUCAACCUGAAAAUAAUUUUUUCAAAAAACCCAUUAGGUAUAUUGCUCUGAUCCAUUUAAUAAUUCGAUGUCAGGAGGCAAAAAUUUUUUUUAAAAAAAUACAGCUAACUACAGAAACCUAUGAAGACGUACAUACAUUACAGCUAUUUAUACCUUCCCAUCGUAACGACUUUCUUGAAUAACUUCAGGAGCCAUCCAAUGAGGUGUGCCAAUAAACUGACAAUGAAUAAAUGUCAGAAGAAAGAACUUCGAAUUCGUGAAUGAAGUAUGAUGAAAGGAACAAAUCUAGCAGACUAGAAGAAUCAGCUAAAGCUUUCUUCUUCUUUCUUGGGUGAAACUUAAAGUAUUCUGUCAAUAAAUCAAUGAAGGUAAUAUUGAUACCGUGUUGCGUUUGGACAUAGUCCUUGUCAAUUGUGCAGCAACUCCAAAAUCACCUGGUUGUGUUGCCACAAAUUAGGGAAACAAUUAAACGACCACAAUCACAUGCAAAACUUUUUUUUUUCAAAAAAAGUUAAUUUGAAUUUUUGCUUUACCUUGUGGUAUGCACCCCCUUCCCCUCUGCCGCAACCCCCCCCCCAAAAAAAAGAAUUGCAAAAGAGUAGCAUAUGUCUAAUCCAUUGAGUGCGUGGACGAUCAAAUUAGAAAGAACUAAAUAAACAAGCAUUCCAUCAGAACUAGAUGAAUAAGGAAAGAUUUGAAACCAGUGAUCAGUUGGAAGAAACCAAUGACAUGCAAAAGAUGAUUACUCACCCAACUUGACCUCUCCCUGUUCAGUCAACAAAACAUUACCGCCUUUAAUAUCUCUAUGUACCUUGAAGAUCGAGUGCAAAUAGGAUAGACCCUACAUGAGAAGCAACAGAAUUUCAAGACACAGAAAUAAGAAGAAUAAACCAGAAAAAGAUCCAGCCAAAAGUGCACAACGAGAAGAGAAACAAGAAUGGUGACCGCCUCGAGUGAUUGGGAGGUAAUGUAACAGUUGAAAGAGGCACAGCAGAUAGAGACUAAAAGCAAACUCCAGAAUUUGUGUUAAAAAACAUAGAAUAACACGUAAGAAAACCAUGAAUAUGCAUCAAAAUAUGGUUUGCAUAGUAUGCAAAUGCAGACUAGGAUAACACAAAAGAAGAACACAGAAUAACACAAAAGAAAACCAUGAAUAUGCAUCAAAAUAUGACUUGCAUGGUAUGCAAAUGCAGAAUAGGAUAAAAUAGGAUAAAUGCAGACGAACAAUAACCAGAAAUGAGAGGAAACAGAAGUAAACUACAACUUUCAUGAUUACAUGGGAAACUUGUCUUCAAGAAAAACUAUUGAUAUUUUGACACAUGCUACUUAGUUCGUAUGCAAAGUUACCUUUAAUGCUUCCCUACAAAUAAAUGCUAUUUGAUACUCCUCCAAAGAUUCAUCUGUAACAGUCAUCAAGUCAGCAACACUGCCACCUCCACAAUACUCCAUCACUAUCUGUGAACAAGUAAACUUGCCCAUGAGACUCCAACAGAUAAACUUUUUGUCUACUUGUCCAUUUUCAACACAAAGUCAACAACAAAAAUAAAACAAAAUAAGAGCUUUAAAAAGAAUGAUGUAUAUUGGUAUUUAUAAGAGAAAAUAAAUAAUAGAAAUGGAAAUACAUAUGCACAAAUACCCAGACACAAACAGAUAUACCAUAGGCAUGAUAAUUCAGUUUAGAAGAUCAGUAAGCAAGGAUGAUAUUGUUCUUACCCAUAGAUACUCUUCUCCUUGAUAGCUCCCAAGGUAGCGAACAACGUUAGGAUGAUUACAUUGUUGCAACAUCUCAAUUUCGCCUCGAAUUUCUUCAUACCCCUCCUCCUGAAGAUAUAGAUAUAGUUCUAAACCUCAAUUGCUGGUUUCGCUGAACACACUUAACACUGUACAUGAACACUUCAAAAUCACAAGAAAUCAUACCCCUUCACUCAAAGAUAUUACUUUGAUAGCAACCAACUCUGAAGUUUUCUUAUCCCGAGCCUUAUAUACAGCACCAUAUGAUCCCUUCCCUGCAAUGCAAUUAGCCCAACUCUCAACCUUCUACACCACAUAGUCCAUAAAAAUCAACGAAUUUUACCCAACACAAAUGCAUAUUACAAAUCAAUCUUUAAAUGCACGAAACUGGGGGCAAGAUUGCGCACUAUAUAGUCAACAAUCAAAAAGCCAACCAGUUCAACGUAUAUCAUCAGCAAAUCCAUCUUUAUCAAUUAGAACUAAAAAAAAAAAACUUUGAAAACAUACUUAAAAACAAGUACACUAUGCUACUAAAGUUCGGAUGAGAAAAGCUCCAUUUUUUAAAUCAAGCUAGAAGGCAAUGUACCGUGAAGACAUCCGAAUUCCAAAAAGACUAACGUAGCCACAAGAAUUAACAAAUUCAGCUAAACAAGCUCAAAGAUGGGAUCAUCGAAAUUUACCAAGCUCAUGCAGCAAUUCAUACUUAGUUGUGGGAUCUUCCUUCGUCACACUCUCCGGAAUUGAACUUGUGGACACUUUCCCACUUCCAUUCCCUCUAAACCGAUCCCCACCACCACCCUCCUCCACCGUCCCACCACCACCACCACUGCCACUUUUCCUCUGCCUGCCAAAUCCACCACCAAUCUCCCCAACCGCCUGCAUACUGGCCACUGCCCUACUCAUCGUCCCACCUCCACUCCCAUUUCCUCCACCGCGGCUCUUCUUCCUCCUCGUCCUCCUCACCACCGUCCCCGAUCCCAUUUCCUCCUCCUCUUCUUCCUCCUCUUCAUCCUCGUCCGCCCCUUUCCUCACCACAAACGUCGAAAAGUUCCCCUCUUCUUCUUCCUCCUCCUCCUCAAAUCUCCUCCUAUACGACGCCGCAUUGUCAUUAUAAUCCCUCUUCUGAGUUCGAUCCCAAAAUUGAGCCGGCGGACGACUCGCCCUCGAACUGUUCGACGUUUUGACAAUCAUAGUACCGGAGACAGAUGCCCCCUCGUCGUACUGAUCAUCGUCCGAAUUCAAGGUGGGGUCCCCGCCAAAAUCUUUAGGUAAGCGUUUAAGUAAAGGAGGAAGUGAAUCGUCGUCGUCGACGUCGUCUUUUCGGACCAUAGUGGCGUAAAUGUCGGACGAUGACAAGUUUGCCUUUCUGCUUCGACGAGAUGUUGGGGAAUCCUCCAUUUUUAUCUCUUUUACUUUUUCGUUUUCAAUAACGAUGGAGUGGUAGGGACGGAUGUUAAAGUGAAUAGCGUGUUGCUAAGAAGAGGCCAUUGCGGGCGGAAGCUCAAAAUGUUGCUUUCCAACUGUCUGAUUCCAACUGACGCUGCCAAAGUUCUAUUUCAGUUUGCGACUGAUUUAGCCUGUUUGGGAAGCUUUUUGGUAUAAUUAGUACAUUAAUGAAGCUAUGAGUUUAGGGAGCUAAGCAAUCAACUAAAGUUUGGCGGUGUUGAUAGGAUCGAGUUAAAAGGUGUUUCAUAGGUAGGGGUGGGCAAAAUUAGCCGCUAAUCCGAAAAUCCGUCAUAUCCGAUUCGAUCCAAUCCAAAAAUUAGGAUAUCCGAUUUUUAUUAUUUAAUCGGGUCAAAAAAGGGUCGGAUACCCGCUAAGAUGCGGGGCGGGUUAGGGUCACAUAAUUAAAAAUCCGCGGGUACCCGAUCUGCCCCGCAUAUAUAUAUUUUUUAUUUUUAUUUUUAUACACACACUAUAAAAUAAUAAUUUAGAACUAAAUAAAUAAUUUUAUUGAACAAAUUACAUUACAAAUAUGAGAGACUAUAGUUUAUUUACAAGAUUCAUUUGUAGAGGUCAUGAUCUUAUAUUUUAUAGAAAAAAGUUUAAUUAAUGUGGAACAUAUAUAUUAAAAAUUGUGCUACUUAUUUCAAACUUUUAUUGAUUUUGAAUUCUUUUAAUUUUUUUCCUUUAUCUUAUAUUUUCUUCACAUGCUUGUUUCUUGAUGGGAAACCUUUUUUUAGAAAAAAAUUUUUAUUAAAUCUUAGAUUAAUGUGUAAAAUAUAAAAUUAAAUUGGUAUAAAUUAUUUUUUUAAAAAAAAUUAAAUGAUAAAUGGGGGGCGGGUACCCGCUGACCCGACCCUAUCUCAGCGGGUACCCUAUAAUCGGAUACUCGCUGAUAUGCGGGGCAGGUAAGGAUCAAAAAAUGGCUGACCUGCAAGGUGCGGGUCGGAUCAGCCAAAUGGUGAAUGAGACGGGUACCCGACCCGCGCUCACCCCUAUUCAUAGUAUAUAAGUCGAGUUGAAGUAUGUAAGUAAUCUUAGUUAAGCUUAACUUGAGUGCGUUUGCUUAUAUUUUUAUUUAAAAUUUAUAUUAAGUGAAUUUGAUUAGGUUUGAUUAUUAAACUCAAUUGAAUUCAAGUUCAAGUAAACCAAAUUGAAGUCAAACUCCAACUCGCUCAAUCAUUAUAGGAUGGAUGAGUUCAAUUUUAAUUAUUUUAACUCAAAUUCAGGCUCAACCCAAAUGCACCCCUAUAUAAAUUACACUAUAAUAAAAGACAUUUUGAAUGAUUUUCUUGAAUUUCAAGAUCGAGCAGCUUGAUUUUCGAAUUGAUUAACUAGCAAACGCUACAAGCUCUUCUUCAAUUAAAUAUGAGUUAACUAUCGAGUUACCUUGACAUGUUUCAACUUUCUAUCUGAAGACUUUGACAUGUUUGGUAACAGUCCCAUUUUCUUGGGAACUAGAAUAAGGAUCUGUGCUCUAGUAUGAGGGUUUUGACAUAUUCAUCAUACAAGCAUCCACGAAAAACUGACUCUAACAGAGGGAUUUUUCACUUUAUUAUACAAGCAUCCACAAGCACUUUUGGUCUCUUUAGAUAUUACAUUCAUCCUAGCAAUUGACAAUAAAGGCAUAUGCAAAGAAAUGACGGUAAGCAGUUAACCAUUUCCAAAUCAGCUUGUGAUUCCACAAAAUCCGACAAACCAGAUUUCUGCUAAAGCAAUAGAAGAUUAAAGCAGUGUGUCUAAAACUGAGAAGUGAGAAGAACAUCUACAUACUCUACAACUAUCCUAUCAUACUGUAUUCAACAGAUUGUAUCAUCCAUGAGCUCUGCCAUCCUCCUGUAAGUGAGCGUAAUACCUGAAAAACCAUAUCAACAUAGAACAUAAUGUCAUGACUUCUUGAACAAAGGUUUCGAGGACUUCCCAGAUUCACCUUUAGGAACUGCAAAUCCCCCCUUUCGAGAGCACAGAUCCUUGUAACAUGACAAGAAACUUAUACUUUCCGUCACCAAAACAAAGCCAACAGUAUCUUGGUAAAACCGGUAAAAUCUAUCAUUCCAUGGAUAAAACCAAGCAAUUAAUAGCAAGCAUCCAUUAACAACAUAGAUGUCAAGCACACAGGCUCCGGCAAGUAAAGGUGAUAGAGGAUAUAAAAGUUCUUUCACUGGUCUAGCUCCCGGAUUCUCCUGCUUCAGACGCAUGUACUCUUCUACGCGAGAUCCAAAGUACCCCUCAGAAAAUACAACUGCAAUCAGUGUAAAAACUAGCAGAAAUGCCCAUUUCCAACCAAAAUUGCCCCAAGAAAGGAUCCAUUGAACAAUCAGAGACACACCCAAGUCUAAAAUGAUGGGCAUUGUUGACUUGACCCUGAAAAAAAGCCGGAAAAGAUUGAUUGUAACCAAAGCACUAAACCAUGAAUAUGGGAAAUCCAAGAAACGGCUCCAGAAAAUGAUCCAACCACUAGCAUUAGUUAUGACAGCAAGAACCAACCAAAUUUCCGUGGAAAUAGAAAGGUAUUGGCAGUCGCAAGAUCCCAACUCUUUCUGGGAUUUGUUAACUUCAUUGAAGAGAUGAAAUAACCAAAUAGCUACUCCACAUAUCCAAAGCAAAUCAAAGACUAACCCCACUAAUCCCAUCAGUAAUUAGUCAACAAAGUGGACCCAAGAUGAGCUAAUGGCACGCCUGAGGCCCUAAACAGAAGCCAGAAAUCGUUGGUUUCUUAGUCGGUUUCCUCUCAAUACGUAAUAAAAGACGUGAUUUUUACUACACUUUUGGCUAUGCAACUUGCUCAGGUAAUUUUUUCUGGCUUCAAGUCUUCAAUCCCACGAAUCUACUCAAAAUACCCAGAGAAACCCAGAAAUAUUUCAUGCUCCUUUAGUCGUGACGCCACACGUUAGAUAAAUGCUCGACUUCCUAUGGAAUAUAUUCGUUCAGGAAUUUCAACAAACAAAUAGUAAUCCACGGAAAAUACAUGAAAUUGAGAAAGGCGAAAAAGGGGUUCUGUCCAGUUUGCCACAGAAACUGAAAUUUGUGGAACUUUAGGAGGUAGUCAAAUGUAACAUGGCACGUAAAGAGUUGAGAAAAAAAAAAUUUUUGAUAAGCAAAAUUUUCUUCUCACCGAAGUCCUAACUCCUAGAACUUUUGGUCAAAGGACUUGCAUUUGAAGUAGGGCGAGCUCAAAAAUUUUCAUGAAAAGGGGUUCCACUUAGCAAGGAGAAACAGAGAAAGAGGCAGCGAGAAGCAUGGGAAGCCAGAUGAGGGUCACAUUUUGCUAAAAGAUUGCAAAUAUGGACGAAGAAAGCCAAGAAAGUCCAACAGGAAGGACUUAGGUGUUGAUUGGUUUUUAACUGCCAGAAGCAGGAGCUCCAAAAUUCUAUCAGAAGAGAGUGCUCCGCUCACUGUUCAAUCUAACUUGUCGGUUUCGGAAAAUGUUCUGCUUUUCUCCCAGUAACAUAGUGUAGCGUCACAUAGUCGGUAGUAAACUAGUCCCUGUGCUGAUAUGGAUAACUGUACGUGGCGUUUGGCACGGAGAAUUGAAAUAAAUUCGUAAUUAUUGUUUGGAUUACUACUUUUUAAAAUUGAGAUUUUGGAAUCAUAUAUAAAAAUUUAAAAUUUUUCAAUUUCCUAGUAAUCUAAAGGAUUUUGGACAAAAUAAGUCUGAUUCUCAUUUAGAAACAGGGUCGGUCCCGCUAUCCGUUAAAAAAUUAAUAUAUAAUUAUAUAUAAUAUCUAUUAUAAUUAUAAUAUUUUAUUAUAAUAUUAGUAUAAUUAGUAUAAUAUAUUUAUAAUAAUAAAUAUAUUUAUAUUUAUUAUAUACACAUAUAUAAUAUAUUAAAUAAAUAUAAAUUAUAAUUAUUUAAUUAAAUAUAAUUAUAUUUAUAUAAUGUAUAUUAUACAUUUCUUAAUAUUAUAUAAUAAUAUAUUUAUAUUAUUUAUAAAUGUAUAUUAUAUGUGCAUAUAAUUAUAAUUAUAUAUUUAUACUAUAAUAUUUGUAUAAUUAUAUUUAAUUAUAUAUAUUUAAUAUUUAAUUUAAUUAGUUACAAACUUAUAAUAAAUGAUAUUAUUAGUUAUAUGUAUUAUAUAAUGUAAAUUAGUAUAUGUAAUAUAAUUGAUAUUAUCAAUUAUACUAAUAAUUAUACAUGUUUACUAAUAAAAAUUAUUAAUUAGUUAUACUAAAUUUACUAAUACAUUUAUACUGAUAUAUUUAAUUAGCAAAAAUUUCUUAUAUCCCACUUCGAAAAAGCCAACGAAUCAAACAUCAAAUAUAGUAAUGAUAUACAUUCCUGAUACUGAACAAAACAGAUGUAUUGGAAUGAUUGACUCCAUUCCGAAUCCAGAAUGAAUGAUCUCAAAUUCGAAUCCGAUUCCAAAAUGCGAACCAAACGCCACCUUAAUCUAAUAGGUAUCACUCAUAAUUUCUAACUUUACAUUUAAUCGCUCUCACUUGCCAUAAUCGGUUUUCAAGACACUUCGGCCAUACAAAGUUCAUCUGGUUCUUUCGGUAAGGACCAUAAAACCUUUUUGGCCUCUCCAACUCUUAAAACGUUUCUGAGCCAACAGGCUGCAGCAUAUUAAUACUUCCGCGCGAUUCAGCUCACGUGCAGUUGCAUAUGUUGUAUUGCCAGUUCUGAGGUCACACCAGAGGCACGCAGAGUUGAAGGCUACAAUCAAUAAUGUAUUGUCACUUUCAAGUAGAUUACGAUAUGUUGACAUUUUAACAUUUGUAGUUUCUUGUGCUUUUGUAAGCUUACGUACAAUUUGAGAAAAUUAGAGGACGGUUAUCUUGAAAAGUUUGCAUGUAACGACAUACGUCCAAGCAGAGUGCGGAAGGAGGUCUGAUCAUUUUUCGUUAAUUACCUUCUCGGCUCCAGAGUUUGAUGAUGAAAUUGUUUGGAAACCACACUUGCUACAUGUGAUGAGCUUGAAUUGUUUAGAAGAGAGCAGUAUACAUAGAAAAUGUUAAGAUGGUGCAAACGAGUUCUGAAUUGCCAAGUUCAAGAACCUCGUGGUUUCAUGUAGUAUGAUACAUCAAUAGCAUUAUUGUCUCCACAAAUUGUGAAUAAAUAUGAUGCCACUGUGACAGGUCUUGCUGAAGCCAAGGGGGGCAGUAUGCAAGUCCAUUUAAAAAACCACAUUCAGGUCUUGGUAAAGUUACUGCACUUGAGAUCUUGCAGGUAGGAGAGGC